UCACAUUAAAACUAGACCUAACAUCAGAUGGAGACCUGAACCUAGAACAAAAAAAAAAAAUCCGAGGACAGGCCUUUGGAAGAAGCGACAAACGGCGGAUCUGACUCCCCCCAGUUUCCUCCAUUUUCUUCUUCUUCUCAAGCCAUAAGACAAAACACCCCUCCUUAUGCACAGUGACAAGAAACGGCGCUCCUUCAAUGGAAUUUUGAGAUCCAUCUCAUCUUCUUCAUUUGAGAGGGUUAAUAAAAACAAACUUGAGAAAAAGCAGCUGCUCGCACCAAAAUCCUCUGAACCAAGCUCCCAUUUUCUUCCUUAAACCACCAGCAAAAGGCCAACCAUGGACAGCAGCUGAACCACCUCCAAAACACCAUUAGAGCACCUUUAAAGCCACCUUAUUAAGCUCCAAAACACUGCUCUCAAACCACCCCAAAUCAGCCCAUGUUUUCUGCUCAAAAUAACGCAGCAAAAACAGCUCUCAAACAAGCCAAUAACCAGCUGAAAUCCAGCUCUAAAACACCCAAAAAAUAUCAGCCAAAACGCAGCUAAAAUAGGUCCCAAAUCCAGCUACAUCGCACCACCAAAACCCGCGCCACAUCAACUUUAAAACAGUCCCGAACACUGCUGCAUUUCUGCUUUAGAAAGUGUUAAAUCGAUGGAACAGUCGAAACAAAACUCUUGCAUUUGAAGAUUAAAUUUCAGAUUUAAAAUUUCUCUUAGUUUGGGUGUCGAUGUUUGGGUUCGAUAGAAGUGUUGUUGCUCGUUGAUUUCCCCUGCUGCUGUUCCGGAAUUGUUGAACCUCGCCAAUUAGGAGUUCUAGGCUUGUAUUUGGUUCUUGAGCUACUGUUGUCUCCUUGCUUAGGUAUGUAAAUCAUAACCUUUCUUUUGAAAUAUGAUUGUAAUUUUGUUGUAUUCUUGCCGGAUUUCCUAGUGAUGCAGAGGUGUUUGCUUAAACUUCAAUUUCUAUGUUAUUUUGUUUAGCUCUUGGUUGAUAUGUAAUGUUAAACAUUUCAUUAGAUUUUCAAAUUGGUGUAAGUUAUGGACAGGUUUGAAAUUCUACUUGAUAUUCUGGUGAAUUUGUGAAGGUUAAAUACAUCGACGAUGUGAAAGUUGUUUAGCUAAAAAUGCAGUCUCUGUUUCGAUUAUGUGAAUAUGCAGGUUUAUUCUAUUUACUUAAAGGCUUAGAUGCUCUGUCACGCUGAAAUCUGCAAUAAUUGUUCCCUUAUUUCUCUGAAAAGUUCAUCACUGUUAAGUGCAAGUUUGAAUUAAUGUUGGACUAUUUUGAUGCAUAGAGUUAGAAUAAAUCUGUGUACAAGGGUUGUUUUUUGAUAAUCAUUGUUAGAUUUUCAUUAAGAAUACUAUAGGUCUAUUGCUCAAGUGUUUUUGAAGAACCUGGAGGUGCUGUUCAAUUGAAAUAGGUUCCAAAAUUAAAAAAUCUCUUUUUAAAUGAAAAUUGGAAACAUCAGUAUCAAGUCACGAGUUUAAUUAGUGUUUGAAUGGAUUCGAAAUUUAAGGGAAGCAUGAAUGUGUUUGUUCGUAUGAAUAUUGGUUUCAGCUAGCCUACAAUAUCGUUACCCAUGCUUGUGGUAAAAGUAUAUAGGUAGUUGGUAAUUGUAUGUUUUCAAAUUCUGUUGAAGAUCAACAGUCCUGUCCUUAUUUGCUUUUGAUUUGGACUUGUCUAUGAGCAUGUAACUUGUUUGGGGCAUGGCAAAUUGAAAUAAGACUUGUUGCCUACUUUAUUCCUUAAAUCCCUAAACCAAUUAUAAUGGCUUGGUCACAAAUGAGUUUCUGAUGAACACCUGGCCUACAAUAAUCUUAAACUAGUCUUAGGAAAAUAAUGAACAUCCGUAGUUUGCUUUAGUUUUAUACAAUUUUUGAAAUAAAUUAAGGUGUGACAUCCACAAUUGAAUCACUUAAUCUAUGGCCCUCGCAUUAAUAUUAUAACUAGUGUAGAAAAUACUUUGAUCACUCGUAGUGUGCUUUAGGCGCGUAAAUAAAUCAUCGUGGCUAUGGGUACGGUUCCCGUAGCAUGGUCACGAUACUUAAUCCCCAAUUCGGGUGUGCAUUUCAUGUGACCCGACCACAACUUCGAACAAUAAUAAUAAAAUAAACAUGUAGCAAAUCGCGGGUGUAUUUCAUGUAGUGCGGUUUGCGGUGUGUUCCAAAACGGCAAGUGUACGACAAUCGUAACUUGUUCAAGAAAUAAUUUAUAAAUCCCAAAAGAGGUUUUAAAAAUAAUUAAAAGCGGUUAUGAAGUUUCAAAAAUGCACAAUAGGUUUAAAACAUGUAAUAAAUCAGAUAAUAAGCCAAUUAUUAAUAGUUUAAGCGACUGUGCUAGAACCACAGAACCCGGAAAUGCCCAACACCUUCUCCCGGGUUAACAGAAUUCCUUAUCUAAAAUUUCUAGUUUUGUAGAUUUUUAACUAAAGUCAAAUUUCCUCGAUUUGGGAUUUGAAAUAAAUCGGUGACUUGGGACACCAAAUAAAUUAUCUCAAGUGGUGACUCUGAAAAUUAAGUAAAAUAAUCCCAUUUCGAAUAAUGUCACUUUAAUUGAAAAAACUCCCUUAUAUCCCCUCGGUGGUAAAAAAGGAGGUGUGACAGGUAUGUCGGGGCCCUGUUCCGGCAAUGUUGCAGCACCUAUUCUCCUUUAGAGGCUCAUAGAUAUGUGUCGACUCAUGUAUAGUUUCGUAUGCCUUGUCGGCUAAUUUUUGUUGUAUAGUCUUUCAUGACAGCGUGGUAGCUCGUACCUUAUAUAUAGUUUCUUGACUAUCUGGUCAUCCCAUGUUAUAUAUGUUCAUGCCAUUAUCUUUCAUUAUUGUUUGUUCAUGAUCCAUGUCUACCAUUUAUAUUGAUCCCAUCGGCCCUUAAAGAUAAGAAGAAAGGUUAGAUAAAAUGUAUGUUGGUGCUCGGCAAGUGUGGUCGGGUGCUAGUCAUGACCCUCUAGUUUGGGUCGUGAUAGAUCGCUCUCGUUGUUGUGACCGAAUCUGCUCCCCCCGGCCCCAUUGAAGCCGACCUUGCCCCUCGGAGUUUUGUUGUCGACCCUCUACGUUGUUUGAUUUGCGGGAGCACUGGGAGGAGCUGGACCCCGUCCAUUUGCGUUAUUGGAAGUACCCGAUAACGCCUAAUUUAGCUCUAUAAUAACCUUAUCCAGGCGUGUGAGAUGGCCUAAAAUGGCCUCUUGUUACUCCUGCAAGACCCUUAUUGCUUUGAUGACAUUCCCUUCUUUAGCAUCAUUGGGAGUUGUCCCUCGAACAUGUCGUGGGUACCGCCUUCUGUGGACCGGUGUUGCCUCGUUCCCCUCACUAGAGGUAUCACUGAUUGAAUCCUCCUGUUGAGGCUGAUUUCUUUGGGCCUCAAGGUUGUAUGUGUUGUUAACACCAUUAUCUACAAUUUGCUAUGAUUUUUUGCUAAGAAAAAUAAACAAACACAUUAGUAAAAGAGGUAAGGACCAACUUAAUUACACAACUGUCUAAGUCCUAUGGCGGGCACCAAACUGUUUACCCGUAAAACGAUACAGAUGAAUUCAUACGUGGUUUAUAGACAAGUGAAUUAAUUUGAUCCUAAAAUAAUAGAUGAAUUAGAAAAAAUUAUGAUACAUAGCCUUGGGAUGAAGAUAAAAUAGCAUAAAUAAUAAUUUCGAGAAUAGGGUUUCAGGGGACAAUAGCAACAAUAUCAGUAAACAAGAAGAUUAAAUUAUAUUGAGCUUUCAAUAGAGUGCAGCGUAUGUUUGUCAAAAAAUUUGUCUCUUUACAAUGAUAAUAGAGUUUGCUAUUUAUAGUUGCACUUAGGGAACAAGGUUCUAGGAUCAAGUCCCUCUUUAAUGUCAAUUAUGAGGGCCAUUGAUGAAUGUGUAGCAACAGGCAGUGAAUAUCAUAUUCCUUGUAACGGGCCGUGUACUUAAUGCUGUAGAAUAUCUUCAUUAAAUGCUACCAGGUGGUAGGCAUUUAUUUAAUCUUUAUGUGUAUCAUCUAUCUGGUAACAAACGGGAUCGUUGCCUUCGAAUUCAACUAUCUUUUGUCUUCGGCUACAUGUGUCAUUUUCUCAUGCGAUAAUUUAAUAUAAAUAUAUUUUACCCUAUACAUAAGUUUUUCAAGGAUUCAUGGAAGGUCUUAAAAUCACGGACAACUGCAAUAUUUCUUAUUUUCUAAGAUCUGAAGGAUAACUCAUUUGUACCCAACUUGAUCAAUGCUUACUAUGGACUAGCUUUUGGUUCAAGGCCAAUGGCAGUGGCAGUGGAAACAUCGAUCCGCAGUCGUUGGCACGGCAUGCUAGGCUAUUCCACUAUCACAAUACAAUUCCAAGAUAGCAUUAAAAAAAGAACAUUCAAUGAUCUUUGCACUAUUUAAGGUCCGUGUUAAGAGCAACUUCGUUUGUACUUUGUAGUGCUUAAUAUUAGGUUUAGAAUUUUAAUAAUGAUCAAUAAUCAAAAGAGACUUGACUAAUGACAUCUCACUUUGUGUACAGAUUCGCAGCAAUGCUGAUGAAUGGAAGGAAAGAAAAUGCUAUGAGGAAAUCAGACGAAGCCAACGGCUAUGUUCUUCGAACUCUGCAUCAAACGAAAAGAGAAUCAACUAAUCAAAGAAGAAAGAAGAAAAGUCAAUCAAUCAGACUUGCUAAAGAUUCUCAAGCAUUUAAGAAAUGAAAGAGACAAUCAAGUAUAGAGAGCAAAUCAAAGGGAAAUAUGUGGAAGCUCAAAUCAAGGAUAAUUGGAGGAACCAAAUCUUCAAACUAAAAAUGAAUCUGGCCACACCUCUCAAGUUAGAUUCAUGAGGCUAACCUUGGGUCUCACACUUAUAAAUCUAUGCCUCACAAGGAAAGACUUUCAGUCAUUGCUGCUCUGCGAUCCCAGAAAAGAGAAAUCAGAAGACUCAUCGAGCAAUAUAAAAGAAGAAGUAGAAUGGCAAAGAAGAUCACACAACUUGACAUCUAUUUCUACACCUUUCUAGUUCUUAGUACAAAUAUUGUAUUCUUGAGUCUGUAAGUGUUGCAAAAGAUAGGAAGAGUUAGAAAACAAAACAAGAGUUGUGUCAACACUAAAAAAAACAUUGUUGUUGUAAAUAGUUGGUGGUGAACAUACUAAAACCAUCACUGUUGUAAAGCCUUAGUCAAGAUCUAAGAGAACCCUUGUGACCUAAGGGAACUAGAUGUAGGUACCACAUCGGUACAAAACUAGUAUAAAAAUUGUUGUGCCUCCUUUACUUUUCUAUCUACAAAAUUUAAUUUUGCUGCGAUUAAUCUCAUAGUGAAGUUUAGUCGA
rnacentral:lncRNA from 1 species